rnacentral:rRNA from 1 species
AGGACGAACGCUGGCGGCGUGCUUAACACAUGCAAGUGGAGCGACGAACCAGGGCUUGCCCUGGGGCAAAGCCGCGAACGGGUGAGUAACACGUGGGUAACCUGCCCCGAUGACUGGGACAACCCGAGGAAACUCGGGCUAAUACCAGAUGAGCUCCUGCCACAUGAGUGGCUUGAGGAAAGGAAGCUUCGGCCUCCGCAUCGGGAUGGGCCCGCGGCCCAUUAGCUUGUUGGUGAGGUAACGGCUCACCAAGGCUUCGAUGGGUAGC